GAGCUGUAGCCACUGGCCUACGCCAGAGCCCCAGCAAAGCAGGAUCCGAGCCGCAUCUGCAACCUACACCACAGCUCACAGCAGCGCCGGAUCCUUAACCCACUGAGCAAGGGCAGGGACUGAACCCGCAACCUCAUGGUUCCUAGUCAGAUUCGUUAACCACUGCGCCAUGACGGGAACUCCUGGAAUAGUUUUUUAAUUAGUCUCUCUUCCUCUGGUCUGUGUCCCAUGAUCCACCUGCUGGUAUUAACUGGAUGCUCUCUGGGCACUUUGUGUGUGUCAUCCAUUCCUCAGCAGCAGCUUGUAAGGGAGCUGCUGCUACUGUGUUCAUUCUCCAGAUUGGGAAGCUGAGGCUGAUGGGAGCUGAAUAAUUUGCCCAAAGUCAGAUCCUUAAUAACAUGUCCAGGUCCUCUGCUACUAGUCUAGCUCUUUGUCAUCUCCCUGUGCCGCUUGCUGAAAGCCAGACCUGGUCAUGUCACUCCUUUCGUUAUAAAAACGAAGUGCCUCCUCUGUUCAGUGGGCACAGUGAAGAUGGACACCUCCCUGCCCUCCUUGAGGUGUCCUGCUGGUGAAGGAAACAGGCACCACACACGUAAAGGCAAACGAAAAACGGAGUUAGCAGUCAAAGGUGGCGAAGCUUCCUUGAGUUAACGGAACUCUGUGGUGGUGUCUAGUUAAAUAGCCACCUUCCACAUCUCCCCGCUGAGGCUGCCCAGUGACACCUUGGGGCUUAGAGAAGCCCAGCAGCAGAAGAAAUGCACCUGCCUUCUUCGUUAGCCCAGCCAGUCUUCCCCAGAAUCACGCGACCACAAACACCUCCUGGUAGUUCAGUGAAGGGCUUGGGGGUGUGGAAAGAGAGGGUGCCUCGUCAUUCAGAAGAGAGAGGAUGAUGGCACCCUUGGGGUCCGGCAGGACUUUAUUUAAAAGGGGUCCUGGAAGGCUGAUAGGAUUUGGCUGAACAGAAGGGAUAUCUACAAGGAGACACGUUUAGGAAACAUUUUGGAAAGUGCCUCACCAUAACAGCUGGAACUCUGUGGUUUUAUGGAGUAAACGAACACUGCGACCUUGCAGUAAGUGGAGGGUUUGUGUUAGCAGGAAGCUUGAGAAGGGGCUGUACGGGUAGAAUCUCCAGCCUUUGGCUGGUUAGGAACUUUUGAUAGUCGUUGUUGGGCAUGAUCUGAACCAAGUGGUAGAUGAGAAACUUGCGUUGAGCUGAGACAUAGUUGGGGGAUUGGAGGGGGAGAUCAGAAGCGUGAAAACCGUGGCUAGAGUGGUUGUCUGUGUAAAGUGAGGCAAGCUGAGACCGGCAGGGCCGAGUAGGGCCGAGCCGAAAAGGUAUUGGGAAGAAUCAGCAGGACAAAACAGUUGAGAAUGACUGGUGUGGGCUGCUGGGAGGACCCAGUCCCAAGAGGUCAGGCACAGUGCUCACUGCUCUUCCAGGCAUGUUCCAGAGAGGCUUUAAAUGAAGUAAAUAAAGAAGCUUCUGUUAAAAUGUUUGAUUAAAUACAUAUAGUGAGUGCUUUUAAAAUGCUGAUGGGGCAAGAUGGCAGAUAAUAUAGCAGUUUUAGGAGAGUUUAUUGUUUGAGGUUCUGGUGUAGAGAUUUGAUUCCCAGCACAAGUCCCAGUAAGUAAUGAGCCAUGUAAUAAUAGGGCUCUGCUCUUAAUUAUGGUGAGUACUCUCAAUGAAAUCGAAUUUUCUUAGUACCAUCCGUGGAAAAAAAUUUAACUCUGACUUUACAUAACAGUCCCAGAUAGAGUGUGAACUCUGUGGAUAUGGGAUAGUGACAGAAAAAAAGAGGAAACAAAUCUCCAAUAUUUGCAGAAAAUGUAAGCUCAGAUUAUAACAUAAAUAUAUGAGUGUUUGUGGCGGCUCUGUUGAAGUUGUUACUAGCUAGACUCUAAACCCCAGCACAAACCCCUUCCAGAUUUCAUCAUCACGACUGGUUCUCGGUUAGAUUUUGAGUUCCUUUAUUUUGUGGAUUCAAUUGUUUAAAAAAAAGUUCAGGGAGUUCCCAUCGUGGCUUAGCGGAAACAGAUCUGACUGGCAUCCAUGAAGAUGCAGGUUCGAUCCCUGGCCUCACUCAGUGGGUUAAGGAUCCAGCAUUGCCGUGAACUGUGGUGUAGGUCACAGAUGUGGCUCAGAUCUGACAUUGCUGUGGCUGUGGUGUAGGCUGGCAGCUACAACUCCAAUUCAACCUCUAGCCUGGAAACUUUCAUAUGCCGUGCAUAUGGCCCUAAAAAGAUGAACAAAACAAAACAAAACAAUUCAGUUUUAUUGAAUUGCUUCUGCAAAUGAUAGUGGGGGAAGGGGAGAGAUUGCUAAUGAAUACUUUUCCUUUGUUUUUUUUAAGACUUUUUGGGGUAAUGACCAACUGUAUUUUCAGCUAGUCAGCCUGUCAUGUGGGUGUGGAAUGCACCUGCAGGUGUGAGGAGAAUUAGGGGGGUGAGUCCAUUGGAACAGUCCCCAGCGAGAUGCCCUACACCAGGUUUUCUGUGGGCACCUGUAGGAAUGGGCAGCUCUCUCUCCCUGAGGCCACUGGGCACUGCCAGUAAGUGCCACCAGCCACUUAGGAAGAAAUCAUGUGUGAUAUUUAUGAUGGACGUAUGAGCGCUAGGUAUAACUCCUGGUUUGCCUUUCACAGGUCGGGUGACCGUCUGCAGAUCCUAGCCAUUGGAAAGGUGAGCGUUAUAACUCACAGGGUCAUUCUGGCCAGCCCACGGUGCCUGGUUGGCAUGUAGAGAGUGUAUUAUUUCUGUUCUCUUCUGGGGGCCUCUGGAAAGCAGACCGAGGUUUAAAAAGAUGUUGUCAAAAUUCUUUCCUUUGAAAUCAAUCUGUGUUGACUCAUAAUUUGAGUACUCCUUUAGUACAGUUAUUAAAUAUAGUUACAUAAUUAGCUCACACACAUGCCUAUUUAACCUGUGAGGGCAGAAUUUUGAUUAUGUAGGUCCCAUGGCUUAAGAAAAUGGGGUUUUCUCUUCAACUUGUCUUUAAACUAGAUCUCAAAUUAGCGGACAUUGAUUUCAGAAUUCAGCCUUUAGGAUUCCUCAGAAGUUUUUCUUGCCUUUCAUUUGUCGCUCCCUUAACAUCUCCCCUGCUUUUUUUCAUUUGCUCUUUUCAUGUUGUCAGGGUUUUUUGUUUGUUUUUACGUUUUCUCUCCUGAAACUUUGCACUCAGAGAUAGGAGUAAAGGCCUAUUUUGAGGCAGUAGGAUGGACAGUGUGCUUUCUUUCAUCUCAGUGUAUUAUUGUUUUGCUAACAUGCCUUUUUGCUCUGAAGAUAUAAAUUCACAACUGGAGAAAGAAUCCCAAACUUCAUAAUAACUCUGUAGUUUCCUGAGUGCUUAUUGUGUGCCAAGUACAGGGCAUUUUAGUACAUUAGCUGAUGUCUUCUCAUCCAUAGUGAAGAGACGAAGGCGCCUGGGAGAGUCAGGCCUGGCUGCUUGCUGUGACCGUGCUCCUGACCUGUUCUCUUGUUCCCCCUUGUUCAGUCCCAGGGACAGGGUGGUUUUUAUUAUCUUUAAAGACCUAAGAGAUCUUGGGGCCCUGACUUUGAUGGAUGGCAUUUGGCCUAUUUUAAUUACAAAAACUUAUCAAAUGUUAACAUAAAUUACCUGUGUCUAGUGGGUUCAUAGCCCCAAAUAGUGUCGUUUGGGGUCUUAAAGUGUGUUGAACUGAUUUUGAUGUGUUUAUAAGAGACAUUAUCACUGUUUGAAAAACCCGAUAGUGCUCUUUCCUCCCUGAUUUCUAAUUCUGGCAUCUAGAAUGCAGCUGAGACAAGAGCACGUCUGUGAGACAAACAGAGAUCUCAUGAGAGCUCAUGGAUUAACUUUUUUCCACCACAGCAGCAGGUUUUUCUUAAAGCGUUGUUUGAAAAUUAACAUUACUGAAAAUUUAAGCUUACCUAAAGGGAUUCUAGUUUUGAUCUCAAUUAUAAAAAGUAGGAAGACAUUUCAUAAAAAUCUGUGUCCCCUUAGCACUAGAAUGCUUUGGCUGUGAGUGGGAUAAGCUAGAAGUAAGCUGCCUUUGAUAGACGUGAGCAGUGUGUGAUAACUGUCUCUAUCUAUUCAACUACUUCCUGUUCAAUCUCACAUCGCAGCUGGAAAGCAAUUUCCUCACUUGACCCAUUUUUCUUCUGUAUUGUGUCUUUCUUCUGGUUCUUUAACAAAUAGUUUGAAGGAAUGGAGUGUCGUAAAGCCUUACACACUUGUAAGGUGAGGCAAUUCAGGCACCUGCUUUGGAAUAAGCAUACUCUCUUGUGUUUCAUUAUUUGGCUCCCUGGUUGGGCGGAUAACAGUUUUGCUCCUUUACUUUCAUGUCACUGUUUUCAGAAGAGAGAGAUUUUAAAGCUUGAAAAUGGUAGGCAUUUGAGUAAAGACAAAAACAGGUGUAUGGGGGUAAGGAUCUUGUUUUAGUAACAUGGACAAUUUAUGAAUGUUAUAAUUUUAGUAAGCAUAUAUGCAGUAAGUCUAGCAUUAAUAGAUCCACAUUGUAAAAUGCCUGUUUAUCCAAAGACGGAGGUCUCUUGGUAUCAUUGGCUUGUUACUGUUAAUGCCACCCUUAGUCACAGGUAUGACGUUAUCAUGUGAUAACUUUUGUCCCACACCCAUGGCUUAUAGAGUGCUUGGGUUGCCUUCUCUUUUUGCCAGAUCAAAUUCUAAAUGUCCUAACACACCGAACAUAACGCCAGUCUCCUUCUUGAAACCAUCUCUGACUUUACGUGUAUAAGCUCUCUCUUUUCUGUUUCUGCUCACACCUUUGGUGACCUCACUUAGCCCUGUGACUUUAAAUUUACCACACAUACCCUGAAGACUCCUAGGUUUUUGCUUGUUUUGUGAGGGGGUUUUUUGGCCAGCCUGGACUGCAUAGAUAUUUGCAUAUCUAGUUGCCUUCUCACCACCUGCACAGGACUGUUUAGUGAGCAUUUCCAGCCCACAGGGCCAGACCUGGCCCUGCUCUUGCCCCAGGACCACUCUGCCUGCACUCCUCUCUGUCUUCCUCGAGAGCGCUUACCCCCUUCUGGUCGCUCCAGUCUAAACCCUAGAGUCUUCCUUGGCUCCCUCUUUCUUUCCAUGUACAGUACAUAAGAAACUAAGAGAUUUCUAAGUGAUCCAUGGGUCAAAGAAGAGAAAUACUUGGAACUAAAUUUAAAAAACCAAAUACAACAUAUCAGAAAUCAUAUGAUGCUGCUAAGCUGUGCUAAGAGGGAAAUUUAUGGCAUUAAAUGUCUCUAUUGGAAAAGGAGAACAAUCUCAGAUCAGUAAUUUAAGCGUUUAUCUUAUUCCAAAAAGUGAAGAACAAACUAAACCCAAUAGCAAGUAAAAAGAAGGAGAUAAAGGUUAGAGUGGAAGUCGGUGACGUAGAAACAGAAAGCAGUAGAAAGGAUCAAUAGAACCAAAAUUAAUUGGUUAAUUGAAAAUUAAUUUCAGCCGGUUAAUUGAAGAUAUCAGCAAAAUUGACAAACCUGUAGCUAGAUUGACCAAGAAAAAGAGAGAAGAUACAAGGUACCAAAAUCAAGAAUGAAGAGGGGCGUUGAGUAUUGAUCUUACAGAAAUUAAGUUGAUAGUCUGAAUAACUUUGUACCAACAAGUUAGAUAGCUUAUAUGAAAUGGACAAAAUUCUAGAAAUAGGCAAAUUGCCAAAACUGACUCAAGAAAAAUGAAAAGUCUGAAUAGACAUAUAAUGAGUAAAGAAAUUGAAUUGAUAAUUAACAAUUUUGCCACAAAGAAAAGCCCAAGUUAUUUUGGCUUCAGUGGUAAAUUCUGUCAGACAUAUAAAGAACUAAU
rnacentral:lncRNA from 1 species